GACGAACGCUGGCGGCGUGCCUAAUACAUGCCAGUAGAACGCUGAAGCUUGGUGCUUGCCCCGAGCGGAUGAGUUGCGAACGGGUGAGUAACGCGUAGGUAACCUGCCUGGUAGCGGGGGAUAACUAUUGGAAACGAUAGCUAAUACCGCAUAAUAGUAGAUGUUGCAUGACAUUUGCUUAAAAGGUGCAAUUGCAUCACUACCAGAUGGACCUGCGUUGUAUUAGCUAGUUGGUGAGGUAACGGCUCACCAAGGCAACGAUACAUAGCCGACCUGAGAGGGUGAUCGGCCACACUGGGACUGAGACACGGCCCAGACUCCUACGGGAGGCAGCAGUAGGGAAUCUUCGGCAAUGGACGGAAGUCUGACCGAGCAACGCCGCGUGAGUGAAGAAGGUUUUCGGAUCGUAAAGCUCUGUUGUAAGAGAAGAACGAGUGUGAGAGUGGAAAGUUCACACUGUGACGGUAUCUUACCAGAAAGGGACGGCUAACUACGUG
rnacentral:rRNA from 1 species